AUUAGUUUUUUAAUUGAAGGCUAGAAUGAAUGGUUGGACAAGAAAUAAUCUGUCUCAAUUGAAUAUAUUGAAUUUAACUUUUAAGUGAAAAGGCUUAAAUAAUUUGAAGGGACGAUAAGACCCUAUAAAACUUUAUAUUUAUAAAUGGUAGACAAUUUUGUUUUGGGGUAUUAUUUUAAAAUAUUUGGUUGGGGUGACAAGGAUAAAAUAAAAAAUAACUGUCUUUUUUUUUUACAGUGAUAUUUGGUUUAAUGAUCCUAGAAGUGGAUUAUAAGAUUAAGUUACUUUAGGGAUAACAGCGUAAUUUUCUUUGAGAGUUCUUAUCGACAGGAAAGUUUGCGACCUCGAUGUUGAAUUAAAAGUUCUUUAUAGAGUAGAGACUAUAAUAGAAGGUCUGUUCGACCUUUAAAUUUUUACAUGAUUUGAGUUCAAACCGGUGUGAG
rnacentral:rRNA from 1 species